UACGGGGGGUGCGAGCGUUGUCCGGAAUCACUGGGCGUAAAGGGCGCGUAGGUGGUUUGAUAAGGGUGUGGUGAAAGUCCGGGGCUCAACCCCGGAUCUGCCGUGCCGACUGUCAAACUCGAGGGCUGUAGAGGCAGACGGAAGUUCCGGGUGUAGCGGUGGAAUGCGUAGAGAUCGGAGGAAGACCGGUGGCGAAGGCGGUCUGCUGGGCAGUUCUGGACACUGAUGCGCGACAGCGUGGGAGCAAGCAGGAGUUAGAUACCGG
rnacentral:rRNA from 1 species